rnacentral:rRNA from 1 species
AACGAACGCUGGCGGCAUGCCUAACACAUGCAAGUCGAACGAGACCUUCGGGUCUAGUGGCGCACGGGUGCGUAACGCGUGGGAACCUGCCCUUAGGUUCGGAAUAACUCCCCGAAAGGGGUGCUAAUACCGGAUAAUGUCUUCGGACCAAAGAUUUAUCGCCUUUGGAUGGGCCCGCGUGGGAUUAGCUAGUUGGUAGGGUAAAAGCCUACCAAGGCGACGAUCCAUAGCUGGUCCGAGAGGAUGAUCAGCCACACUGGGACUGAGACACGGCCCAGACUCCUACGGGAGGCAGCAGUGGGGAAUAUUGGACAAUGGGCGAAGGCCUGAUCCAGCAAUGCCGCGUGAGUGAUGAAGGCCUUAGGGUUGUAAAGCUCUUUUACCCGGGAUGAUAAUGACAGUACCGGGAGAAUAAGCUCCGGCUAACUCCGUG